rnacentral:rRNA from 1 species
AGAGUUUGAUCAGUGGCUCGAGGACGACGCUGGCGGCGUGCCUAACACAUGCAAGUCGAACGGAGAUGCAUUGAAUGAAGAUUUCGGUUGGAUUUCGAUACAUCUUAGUGGCGGACGGGUGAGUAACGCGUGAGUAACCUGCCGAUGAGAGUGGAAUAACGUUCUAGAAAAGGACGCUAAUACCGCAUAAUGUAGAGCGGCCGCAUGACCAUUCUACCAAAGUAUUUUAUCGCUCAUUGAUGGACUCGCGUCCGAUUAGCUGGUUGGUGGGGUAACGGCCCACCAAGGCGACGAUCGGUAGCCGGUCUGAGAGGAUGAACGGCCACAUUGGGACUGAGACACGGCCCAGACUCC